GUGGGGAAUAUUGGACAAUGGGCGAAAGCCUGAUCCAGCCAUGCCGCGUGUGUGAAGAAGGUCUUCGGAUUGUAAAGCACUUUAAGUUGGGAGGAAGGGUAGUAACCUAAUACGUUGCUACUUUGACGUUACCAACAGAAUAAGCACCGGCUAACUUCGUGCCAGCAGCCGCGGUAAUACGAAGGGUGCAAGCGUUAAUCGGAAUUACUGGGCGUAAAGCGCGCGUAGGUGGUUCGUUAAGUUGGAUGUGAAAGCCCCGGGCUCAACCUGGGAACUGCUUUCAAAACUGCUGAGCUAGAGUACAGUAGAGGGUGGUGGAAUUUCCUGUGUAGCGGUGAAAUGCGUAGAUAUAGGAAGGAACACCAGUGGCGAAGGCGACCACCUGGACUGAUACUGACACUGAGGUGCGAAAGCGUGGGGAGCAAACAGGAUUAGAAACCCCUGUAGUCC
rnacentral:rRNA from 1 species